GGGGAAUAUUGCGCAAUGGGGGGAACCCUGACGCAGCGACGCCGCGUGAAGGAAGAAGGCCUUCGGGUUGUAAACUUCUUUGAUGAGGGACGAAACAAAUGACGGUACCUCAAAAACAAGCCACGGCUAACUACGUGCCAGCAGCCGCGGUAAUACGUAGGUGGCGAGCGUUGUCCGGAAUUACUGGGUGUAAAGGGCGUGUAGGCGGGGAUAUAAGUCAGAUGUGAAAUACCGAGGCUUAACUUCGGGGGUGCAUCUGAAACUAUAUUUCUUGAGUACUGGAGAGGGAAGCGGAAUUCCUAGUGUAGCGGUGAAAUGCGUAGAUAUUAGGAGGAACACCAGUGGCGAAGGCGGCUUCCUGGACAGUAACUGACGCUGAGGCGCGAAAGCGUGGGUAGCGAAC
rnacentral:rRNA from 1 species